AUAACGGUCCUAAGGUAGCGAAAUUCCUUGUCAGGUAAGUUCUGACCCGCACGAAUGGCGUAACGAUUUGGGCACUGUCUCAACAGCCCACCCGGCGAAAUUGUUGUACUGGUGAAGAAGCCAGUUACCCGCAACUAGACGGAAAGACCCCAUGGAGCUUUACUGUAGCUUAAUACUGGAAAUCGGUAAAUCAUGUACAGGAUAGGUGGGAGACUUGGAAGCCUGGGCGUCAGCUUAGGUGGAGUCAACCUUGGGAUACCACCCUUGAUUUGCUGGUUUUCUAACCUGCGGCCGUGAAUCCGGUCGGGGGACACUGUUAGGUGGGCAGUUUGACUGGGGCGGUCGCCUCCAAAAAGGUAACGGAGGCGCUCAAAGGUUCGUUCAGCACGGACGGAAACCGUGCAGUGAGUGUAAACGCAUAAACGAGCCUAACUGCGAGACCGACGGGUCGAGCAGUAACGAAAGUUGGAGUUAGUGAUCCGGCGGUAUGUGCGUGGAAAUGCCGUCGCUCAACGGAUAAAAGCUACCCUGGGGAUAACAGGCUGAUCUCCCCCAAGCGUCCACAGCGACGGGGAGGUUUGGCACCUCGAUGUCGGCUCGUCACAUCCUGGGGCUGUAUUCGGUCCCAAGGGUUCGGCUGUUCGCCGAUUAAAGUGGCACGCGAGCUGGGUUCAGAACGUCGUGAGACAGUUCGGUCCCUAUCUGUUGCGGGCGUAAGAGAUUUGAAGGGAGCUGUCCUUAGUACGAGAGGACCGGGAUGGACGUACCUCUGGUGCACCAGUUGUCCUGCCAAGGGCAUAGCUGGGUAGCUAUGUACGGACGAGAUAAACGCUGAAGGCAUCUAAGCGUGAAACUCCCCCUAAGAUUAGAUCUCUCAUCCAUUAGGAGUAAGGCGCGUCGUAGACUAUGACGUUGAUAGGCCGGAGGUGGAAGCACGGCAACGUGUGCAGCUGACCGGUACUAAUCCGCCGAGGGCUUGACCUU
rnacentral:rRNA from 1 species